rnacentral:rRNA from 1 species
ACAAGCGGUGGAGUAUGUGGCUAAUUCGAUGCAACGCGAAGAACCUUACCUGGUCUUGACAUCCCGGAGACCCUUAGGAAACUGGGGGGUGGCUUCCAUCUGGAAGAAUCUGGAGACAGGUGCUGCAUGGCUGUCGUCAGCUCGUGUCGUGAGAUGUUGGGGUUAAGUCCCGCAACGAGCGCAACCCUUGCCUUUAGUUGCCAGCAGUUCGGCUGGGCACUCUAAAGGGACUGCCGGUGUUAAACCGGAGGAAGGUGGGGAUGACGUCAAGUCCUCAUGGCCUUUAUGACCAGGGCUACACACGUACUACAAUGGCCGAUACAAAGGGCAGCGACACUGCGAGGUGAAGCCAAUCCCGUAAAAUCGGUCUCAGUCCGGAUUGGAGUCUGCAACUCGACUCCAUGAAGUUGGAAUCGCUAGUAAUCGUGGAUCAGCAUGCCACGGUGAAUACGUUCCCGGGCCUU